GCCUGCAACAUAGUGUUAAUGCACCAGAUCCCAUUAGAACUUUGUAGUUAAGUGUGCUCAGGCUAGAGUAGUACUAGGAUGGGUGAACUCCUGGGAAGUCCUAGUGUUUUACAUGCC
rnacentral:rRNA from 1 species